UGGAUGUCUUCUGGAGGCCUAAACCUUUUCUUGUUUUCUUCUUUUUUCAGCCCUGUACCUUCAUCUUCCUCAGCCCUUUCCCUUCCUUCAUCCACAUCCUCCCGGACACUGGCCCUGACCAUCUCCCUAAGGUCCCUUCCAACUUUAAAUCCUGUGACGACUGACAUUCACACAGCUCUUUAAGGCUUGCUGUGUGUUAUGUGCAUUAUCCUCCGAGUUUCACAGCAACCCUGUGAUCACUACACAGUUUGUUCUAACUGGACUACACUUGCAUCAGACCAGGAGCUUCCUCUACCAGUGAAGGUCCGCACUUUCUCUGUAACUUAUGGUCUGGGGACACCGAGAGGUCACAUGAAUUGUCCGGGAUCACCCAACCAGGGGGAGUCACACUAGAACCUAAGGCUUCCCGCUCCUGAAGCCAGCCAGCCAGGACACCUCGCUGCCUUCCUAUGUUUGACACGGGAGGCCCGGGGAGGCCUCAGCGUGAGCAGCAGAAGGAAAGUCUUACCUGGCUCCAGGCGGCAGCUUCUGCGGCUCCCGCGCACGAACUACAACUCCCGAGAGGCUGCGCGCUUCCUCCCUAGGCUCCCGGCAAGGCUAGCCAAUCGGAGGCCGGGAGGGGCGGAGGCCUUCUGCAACGUCACGGCCCCUCAGCAGCAAUGAGAAGGCGCCUCGUCAUUCCUCCACAGAGAGUCCAGAUGCCAACGGCUCCGCCGCAGCUCACCGCUCUGACCGUGAAGGGCUGAGCUUCCGCAGCCAGCGUUUGUUAAGCUCUCCUUGUGUACGGAGACCCAAAACUUAGAUAAAACGGUGUCUGUUACUAACACACCUUUUGAGAGGUCCCUUCCAGUUUUGUUUUGGAGAAGAAGUGCUGACCUGUAUCCGUGGACGGAAUUUCUCACACCUAUACGAAAAAGACACACCCACGAUAAACUGUCAAAUAAAUCCUUACAUAAUAAGUGUGUUAGAGAGGUGCAGGAGAGUGGGGAAAAGCCAUGUGUAGUCUGAGGGGGGAAGGUCGUUAAGUACGGGGGGGAGCGUGGUUAAGUCUGAGAAAGCUUCAUAGAGUAGGUGACUUUUCGGUGCAAAUCGAC